AUGGGCCGCAACUCAGCGGAGCACCGCCGUCAGUGCCCUCCGCGGCGGCACGCCCCCGAGGAUAUGGCCUCGCUGCCGAUCCCCGACGAACUCCUCGCCGAAAUCUUCGUUCGCCUGCCCACCCCAGCCGACCUCGUCCUCGCCUCCGCCGCCUGCGUCUCCUUCCGCCGCGUCGUGGCCGACCGCUCCUUCCUCAGGCAGUUCCGCAAGCUCCACGCGCCGCCCCUCCUCGGCUUCCUCGGCCCGCACACCGGCUUCGACCCCGCCGAGCGGCCUCACCCCUCCGCAUCUGCGGCCAGUGCCGUCGCCCUCGCCGCCGACUUCUCCUUCUCGUUCCUUCCGCCCCCCGGCCCCGCUCACCGCUGGGCUCUCUGGGACGUCCGCGACGGCCGGGUCCUCCUCCGCGGGAUGCCCCUGGAAGAUUCUCAUGGAGUCGUCUUCACAGAGACGGUGGUGUGCGACCCUUUGCACCGGAGGUACCUCAUGCUUCCCUCAAUCCCUGACGACGUAGCAGCUACCGUGGAGGGGCCACGCCCACAUUCAUGCGAGAUUUUCCUUGUUCCCGAAGGCGGCAAUGAGGACGAUGAGUCAACAGCCGCUGAAGAGACGUCAUUCAGAGUGAUCUGGAUGGGGCACUAUGAAGAUAAGCUCAUCACCUAUGUCUUCUCUUCCAGCACCAGACAAUGGCAAGCCAUUCGAUCCCUUACCUGGACCAAUUUGUCAGCUGGCUCGCUAUCAUCGACAGAGAUGACACUCUUCUGCCAGCGCCAAUACGUGUAUGGCUGCUUUUACUGGCUGCCAAAUUCGAAGCACGGAAUAAAAAUGUUGGUGCUCAACACCCGUAAGAUGGAGUUCUCCGUUGCUGAACCCCCAGCUGAACCCAAAGUUUGUUACAGACAUAUAACCAUGGUGGAGGCAGGAGAAGGCAGGCCCGGGCUGGUUGUCCUUACAUACGGCCCACGCGGCCACAUUUAUACCAUUUGGAGAAACAAUAAUGGGAGUUCCAGCCAAUGGCAAAAGGAUAAGGUAAUCCCACCCUCACCGGGAUCUGGGUACGUGCUCAGACAGUCGAUGGGGACACAUUUGCUUUUGAAUCACUGGGGGUUCUCAUCCUUCGACGAAGAAUUAUGCACAGACUUAUGCACGUUGGACAUGAAAACAUUAAAGAUUGAGAGAGUGUGUGCUUCCACAGUGCAGAGCUUCGCAUAUAGCAACUAUCCACCAUCGUUGUCGUCACCGACAAUAUCAAAUGACGGCUAUUGA
rnacentral:rRNA from 1 species